CCUUCAAGCUUUGAUGAAGUUUUGGGUCUGUGGUUUUGGCUCUGCCUCUUCCCCUUGGUGCUGAUUAGCACGUUAAUGGGUGGCAGUUGGCGUCAAGAUCCCUCUAAUACGUCACAACUGGAGAGCUUGUUCCACUUGAGACAAAUGCAGGUUUAUCAACAGGCAGUGUUUCAUAUUUAUCAGCUUAGCAACAGCAGGUAGUGUGAGGAGCCUGAAGAGUCCUCAGUGGUAGCACGUAAUAAAGUCAAACAAAGUAAUUUUCUAAGUUAUUUAGAAUAUCACAAUAUCUUAAAUAAUAAUUUCUUAAAAAUGGUAAAGUGCUGCACAGUCAGUCUGUAGUCUCAGACAAGGCAUGUGGAAUAAUACUUUAACUCACCAGCUAACAGUUAAUUAUGAGCCAGCCAAAAAUAAAAUCAUCACAAAACAUGAUGUCCUGUGCAGCUGCUUUUGGGAAUAGCGUAAGGAAGCAUAAGAUAUCCCAGGACAGAGAAAAAUGAAAGUGCAGAAUUCUAUUUCAGUGAUAUAAUAGGACUAAAUUAAAUCUGUAAGUUAGUCUUGGGGAAUUCAAACACCCACAGAAGGAAUUCACUGGCAGAUCACUGGGCUGUAUCUAAGCAGUACUCAGCAUGCAUUGCUUAUCCCUCAUGGUAACAUUCAGGGAAAGGGAAAUAGACAGGAGCAGCAAGCAUGAACAGUAAAAAAAGUUUACUCCAAAAGAUGGAGUUAGAAAGGACUCUGAGAACAGAAAACCUGUGGAAGGCGUUGUUCUGUAUGGUCAUUUACACCACGGACAAAAUGUUUGAAAUUGUAUGGAUAUAUCCUGUCAAGGACACUGGCUAAUAGAUAGCCAUGUCCAGCUUCAUCAUAACCUGCAAAAAGUUCUGUACCUCAGGCUUGUCUGGGCAAAAUUGUGAUGUGCAAUGCCAGGGAUAGACCAUCUGUUUCCUUGUGCUGUUUGAAAAGCACACAAAGAAAUGGGAAAGGAAGGACCAUGUAAGACAAUGCCAUUCUCCACCCAGGGCUUAUUGAUCCAGGUGUGCUGCUGUAGCAAAGAAUUCAGUGAGGUUGUUCCCAUGUUUCCUUCUGCAGCUGCCAGAUCUCAGGCUGCCCUGCUCAGCAGUCACCCUGUGACUUGCUAAAGUGGCAGGUCACCCAGGAGCAUGGCACUGUCAGGUGCUCACAUCCAGGCCUUCACACACUCCUGUACUUUCUCUAGUGUCUAACACGGCAGAAGAGAUGUGAGAGAAAGGUUUUUGGGAAAGUUAUUUUUCAGCCUUCCAGAUUUCAAAUUCUUCCUGCCUCAGGAGAAAAUUGUGUUUGUGUAGGUUUCAAGUCUCACAGAAUAAAAUGAUUCAGGAAAAAGUAUUUGAAGUUUUGGAUUCUGGGUCAUACCACCCCUAACAUUUACACUUUUCCAAUUUGUUCUUCUCUUUCAGGUAUACCGUGUUCAUUUCAGUAUCUAAAACUCUGGGGUUUGGCUGGAAAAUAUUAGACUAAUCCCAGGUAACUUUCAGAAUCUAAGAUCACCUAGAUAUAUAUAAGACUUCCUAUUCAUCCAAGGACAUCCUAAGUACCUACUUGAAACUCGAAAGCACCGAAGUGAUGCAAGUGCACACACAGAAGGAGAGGUCCACUGUGAUAUCCAUGCUGAAAGAGCCAUUCUGAUGUGCCAGAGGAUUACAAGAGAAGGCAUCCAAGUGUACAGCCGGGCACUGCACACCCACCACAGACAGCUGCUCUCCUGUUGCCUCCCUCAGUACACCAGGCCACUGGCUCUUGAUACCUAAAUUCUCCAUGUUUGUUUGGAUUUGUGAUGAACAUUGUACUCUUCAUCACCAGGAUGAAAUAAAGAACUUAAAGCACAAAUAAUGGGUAAGCUACAGUAUCUGGUAUUUCAGUGAGACAGACUAGGCUUCUUUAUUCCCAAAUUUACAAAAGCAGCUCUAAUUAACAGGAUGUUAAUGGAUCUGCCAGAUUAUGUACAGACCAUGUGCAGUCCUCCUAUGGAACUGGCCCAGCACCCUCCAAAGGAAAAGAGCUGUUGCAAGUUAUCUAAAAAUGGGACCAUCUUUAAUGUUGGGCAUAAAAUUCUUAUCCAGAGGCACAAGAAAGCUUAUGAUAGUGGAUGACUACAUCCACUGGAACAAACAUCUUACUCUGAUCCUUUCAGAUAAUCUAGAAACUUACAGGAAGAAGAAAACAGAUUAUUUCAGGAGCCAAACCGUAUAAAUUAUAAUAAAUUAUCCUUUGAACAAGCAACUGAUCUUCAAUGUGUAUAUGUACAUUUUGCAAACAUGGGUAUUUUAAAAAUGCUUCCUAAGUGUAUAUCAAGACUCCACCAAAGUGCUUUCAUCUUUAUUUUAUGCAAUGCAAAUUUAAUUCUCUUUUGCUACUCAUAUUCUCAGUUUAAGCAAAUCAAAAAACAACUUAGACUUUUAAAAAUGAUAGCAUGAAGAACAACAAAUAUUUUUCUUUUGGCACCAUGGGAAAGCUGCAACAACAAUUUCUUUAAAGAAAAGUCGUAAAUGCCAUUAACCCAAAUGACCAGGAAGCAGAUGCAGAGGCCAGCUGGCAAAUAAUUUGCUGUUAUAAGAUAAAGCAUUUUAUGCAAAUGAGAAUCAGUGAUACUGGGAUAGGUAAGGACACAUUAAGAAGCUUAGGAGCCAAAGUUCACUGCUCCAGUUUCUUUAGCAUGAUUUCUGUGACUCUUAUGACUUUUAGUUAUUUCAUCCUGUUCAUGCAGUAACUUCAUUAUACAUUCCUGCUCCCAGGCUCUUCCAGGUCCCCUUGUCUUACCAUCUUCUUUUGGCAUUAGGCUUGCACCAGCCAUGGCAUUUAAGCAGCAUGUCCUCCCUCCCUCUCAUCACAGCUUCUAGCACCACUCACCUUCUGUGCUCCUGUAAGGUGGACUCAUACACUGUUCACAAUUUUUUAAAAAAUUAAAUAGGAGCAAAGGUAGUUUUAAGUUUACAUCAGCCAUAACUCCCCACCCAAUCCAUUAUUCCCAACCCAAACCCUGCUGUGCAGGGAAAAUAGGUACAACACAGCAAAUAUGUGCUAAAGGCAGUGUCUCUCCCAGCAUCAGGUGGGGACUAUAACACAUGGAUUUCCAUUUUGGAUUCCUCUGAGAGUCCUGCAGGGCACCUGCAGUUAACAAUUGCUGCCACACUGAGUGUCUCAUUUUUUAAAGGGUUUUUCUCCUUCAUUGCUAUUUGGUAGCAAUGUUGUUAAUUGAUAGAGACUCCUUGCAGUCUGCAGUUCUAGUUAAGGAUUGCUAUGGAUUGUCACAGAGAAGAGCUUUAAGGAGUGGUUAGGAAAUGCAAAGAGUGUGUAAAAAGCAGUGUAAUGGUCUGCUUGAACAAAGAAUAUUUAGUUUUUUGACAGGUAGAUUCUGCUCUGAUUUUGAUGAGAGCAAAGCUGUCCUGCUUCACUGAGUUUCUUUUACUAGCUCUUAUGCAUGGCAAAUGGACAUUUUAAUUUAUAGCUGCAUAUUACACUUAUUUUUACACACCAUUUGCAGUUUCCCCUGCUUCUCAUUGGCAAUUAUUCCUCUUGAAAGGAAAAGAUCAAGCAAAUUAGUUGACAGCAUUCACGAUGAAUCCUUCCUCCUUUUCCUUUAGGAUAAUCCUGAAGUGCAAAUGCUGAGAACAUGAAAUGGUUCAAUACAUUUUAAAUAGCUGUGUCAGGGUUAAUUAUAUUCAAUCAGGCAGCCAGAUAUUCCUAGAGAGAAAAUCUUUGAGGUUAUCUCUGCAAAACCUUACUGCUCUGAAGGGCAUGGCCACCUCAGCUCUGCAGGCCAGCAUGGUCUGAGAUGCAUAUCAGAAGUCCUGAGAUGGAUAAAUGAGAAGUCCUGAUCAUUUUGGGACUAAUCCAAAUUCCUGCAACAAAAACCUGUGGAAAUGGGGUUUGGCUACUAUAGUAAUUGCAACAGAGGAGUCAGUUCCAUGUGAGCUGUGCUUUGGAAAACACACAUAUAAUAAGAAAACAAAAUAAAUGACAUCUGGAAAGAAUCACUGAGGUUUUCAGGUUUUAGAAUGCAAAACCUACUUGCUGCUUCAGUUGGAUUCCUGUUUAAGAUGCAGCUGCUGUGAGAGUAUAUGCAGCGUAUUUAAUUUGAAAAUAUUCCCAGAACUUCUUUGCUGCAGACAGGACUUGCUCAAAUGAGUAAAAAACAUACUUAAUUCUUUAAAUCUCAGAGGGUUGUUUUGUUAGCCAAAGAUGUCAGCCACAGCAAACAUUUUUAAUUAAUGGUUCUGUAGCAGUCGUGUUACCUUUCUCAUGCCCGACUUUGAGGGCAGCUAAUUUCUGUGUUUAUCUGUUCUACUUGGCAUGUACAUGAUGUGCUAAUGAAGAGAGAAAGAGAACAAUAAUGAUGCUCAGCACUUAUACAGCAUUUAUUCCAUUUUACUGCAUAAAUAUUAAUUGUGAAUCUUCACAAAAGCCCCAAGGAAUAGAUUAAUACUAUUAUCUUUCUAUUUAGGGAAAUAGAAGCAGAGGUGAAAGACUAUGAAAAGGAAACAGAAGUGCACAGAUGUACUUUGCAAAGCUUUUUAUAGCUUAUGAAACAGGUCUGUAGAUGUUGUUUAUAAAUCUAAUUACAGUUUAUAUUUAGGUGUUAUGGGAGUAGUAAAUCUUGCCUUCCUCCCUCUUUCCUGGGAGGAAAACCUGACAAAUGAGGAGCAGAAACAUCCUUAGAAUUUAACCGAAAGAUGAGGAAAGUUAUACCAUCAGGGAGGACUUUGCUUCCAAAAUCUUUAUUUCAAAAGGCAUUAAAGAUAGUAAAGACUUGGGAACAGAAUGAAUAAAAACCACUUAUCUCAGUUAGGCACUGCUUCCCUGCCAGGCUGCUUUCUCCAGCAGAAAUCACCCUGCUCCUCCGCGGCCUGCCCUGCUGCAGUGCUGCUUGGGCUGCUUUAGUGCCACUGCAGGUCCCCCCACCACAGUCCUUGCACCUGUCUCUUGAACCUAAAAUGGACAAGAAAAAGGACACCUUGUUUUGGACAGAUGAUAAGCACUGGCUGUGCUAUCAUCCAGCUUAUGAAAAACUCUCCAGGACUUCUUUAGCAACAUUGAAUAUAUUUAAUUCCGAAGAGCAGAAAUUAAUCACUUCAGCAAUUAAGGCACUUGAUUCUAUGAUAGCAUUACUAUCCUUGAAGAAACACAAUACUUAAUGGUUUUUAUUGCUUGUAUUCCUUGAAAGGUGCAUUUGCCCUUUCAAAACAGAGACAUUAUGUUCUCAAAAUCCAUUUCCAGUUGAAAAGCCUCCCACUGCCUACAUGCAGGUGUGGAUGUUUUCUGAUUACUCCUAAUCAAAGUUCAGGGUUGCUGCAUUUCCCGUGCAAGGGAGAGCAGGAUAAACACAUGUUAAUGAAAGAGAGGAAGCAGCAUUAGUCCCAGAGAUUAAAACAGAUGGGUUUACUCCGACUUCCAUUGAUUUGCAGAAAGUGACAGAACAUUUCUUUUAGAUAGAACAUUUUCAAUUAGAUACAAUGUUUUUAUGUACAGAGUAAUAAAAAAUGUGUUUAUAUCCUUCAGGAUGACUCCUCUGCAAGUUUAGGUGUGAAUGUCCCCACAUCUCUUCGAUGUGGGCACAAAGAAGUUUGUCUUCUCCUUGUGUCAAGGGCUGCAGCAUUUUGUGGCUUAGCUUGUGAGUAGCACUUGGGGCCAAACCUGCAGCACAGAAUGGCCAGGACGGGAGGCAGGAGAUACUUGGUGAGUCCUGGCUUUGCACAACAAGGCAGCACCCAGCUCACAGCUCUCCAGAUGCUUUGUAAGCCUACCUGUGCAGGGGUGAGUCUGGCACAUUCUGUCAAAGCACAGGCUUAAACAUUUCAGUGGUUUAUCAGAGCCAGAGUUAAAGACACAAAAAAGAAAACAAAGAACAUACUUUUUACUUACUUAUGCCUGGUUUUAACAAGUUUUUCAGGAUUUUCUUCCAAACUACCACAAGCUAUAAGGUAACUUCGAAUUUCCAAAGCUGAAAGUGGUGCUCAGGGCCCUCCCUCUACUUUGAACAUCAAUCUUUGCUUGUACUCCAGGGUCAUUGGAGUAACCUUCUGAGUACAGAAGAUUUUCCUUCCCAGAGUGUUUUCUCUGAGAUACCAGCAAAUGUAAAAGUAGUACUUUGACAUCAUAGUUAGAGAUGACUUCUUCAAACCUUCCUUGUGUUCCUUAGUUAACACAUUUCUACUUUUCUCCUCAGGACUGCCAUAGGUACUUUAUAGACUGUAUAGUGUGAGAAGUAGUGGUUGUGUUGACACCUUUGUAGACCUAUGGCUUCCAGCUCAUUGUGAACUUGGUAGUGAGUCUCUGCUGGUGGUUUUGCUGUAUUAGGUAAUUUUUCUGCCUUUUCUCAGUUCAUGUUCCUCUCUCCACCUACUGUCUGGUACUCCUGCUGCCACAGACAUUUAAUGUGCAUAAUGCAAUCUGUGACCAGAGCCACUUGGAAAGUUCCUUGUUUUCAGUAACAAAAUGUACCAGUGUCUCAUGUAGCUGUUGCAGCAAAUGUUGCAGUUAAUUUCUUUUAGUGGAUUUUGCCACUCUAUGAUGAGCAGCUAUGUGGAGCAGACUGCAGCUGUGCAAAUGGGCACUCACUGGCCUAGUUGAGCCAGGAUAGUGUAUGACUCCUUUGACAGAAUUUUUACUCUGACCAGCUUAAUUCUUUCUACUUUUUGCUUCCUGAAGGAAAGCAGUGAAAUUACUUUAAGUGGCAUCCCAAUAAAUUUUCAUUUCAGUAAUUUAAACCACAAAUGAUUACAAAACAGAGAGGCUGCUAGUGACUAGAGGCUGUUUCUUUUGAUUUAUUUUAAAUUGUUAUUUUAUUUUAACAAAGACACCUGCACAAAGCACUGCAUUUAAAUUUUUUCAUUUGACCCAAACAGCCCCCAUUCAAUCUCUUAGCAAUCAAAGAAACACAAACCCCCUCAAUGCAAUUUUGUUUCCUUAAAUGAGAAAAUGCAAAGUGUACUGUGUCAGUAUGGGCAAAUUGAACCUCACUGCAUCUUCUGGUUACUCUGAACCAUUCACAGGCAAAAACCUUUCUCUUCUUUGCAGGCCUCCACAUACAUUUGGAAAAAGUGCCUUCCCAGCAGGGCCUGGUAAUUGGCUGUAAGUUUCCAUGAGUCAGUAAAAGCAGGUGGAUUGGGCUGAUUUCUUGUAUGAACCCAUCAGUUUUUGACAUAAAUGUUUAAAUGUUAAAAGUCAGUGUGAUCCUAGCAAGUAUGAAGAACAUUGUUGUCUCAUCCCUUUGGUUUUAAUGGAGAUUGUUCCCUCUAAUAUAUAUGAACAUAUUGAUUUCUCUUUUGAGUCAAUGAUAAAUUGUGUUUCUGCAGUUUUGCUUUUCAUUAGGCUGCAUUUGUAACUGGUGGCAAUAAAUCGUGAUCUUGAGC